rnacentral:rRNA from 1 species
AUUGAACGCUGGCGGCAGGCUUAACACAUGCAAGUCGAGCGAGCGGCGGACGGGUGAGUAAUGUCUGGGAAACUGCCUGAUGGAGGGGGAUAACUACUGGAAACGGUAGCUAAUACCGCAUACCAUCAGAUGUGCCCAGAUGGGAUUAGCUAGUAGGUGGGGUAAUGGCUCACCUAGGCGACGAUCCCUAGCUGGUCUGAGAGGAUGACCAGCCACCCUGGAACUGAGACAGGGUCCAGACCCCUACGGGGGGCAGAAGUGGGAAAUAUUGCAAAGUGGGGCAAAGCCUGAUGCAGCCAGGCCGGGUGUGUGAAGAAGGUCUUCGGGUUGUAAAGCCCUUUCGGCGAGGAGGCGUUACUCGCAGAAGAGGCACCGGCUAACUCCGUGCCAGCAGCCGCGGUAAAC